ACCGGGGCGCGGGGUGCCUGGGGGGGGCCCCAGCACCCCCGCUGGCGCCCUGCCAACCCCGCUCCCGCCGGCAGAUCCCGCCACGAAGUUCGCACGACCUGCUCCCCAGGACGGGCUGGGAGCAGUUAUUAGCCUUCAAGCCCGGCUGCAGCGGCGGGUCGCUUUCCCGGCCCCCCCAUCCCGCCCUCACUCAGGACACCACUCUCCCCUGCGCACGGGCCUGGGCUGAGAUGCCUGGCGGCGAUCUGACAUUGAAACAACUUCCUGAUGUUAGGCAGAGGACGCCGCUGCAUGAUGGCACACGCUAAUAAUUUCUGUUUUGAUUUUUCUUUGGCAUUGGUUGUUACGUGACCUCCAGAGGGUGUGUACGUCGUGGACAAAUGAACCCAGCAAACCGUGGUUAGAACGUGGUGGCGUACGGAUUCAGGACGACAGGAGACGCCUUACGUUCCAGCAUGGGACAGUCCCGCAGCUGCCCGGGCUUGAUAUACCCCUGGGGAGUUGUGUGUGGUGGAAGGUGCCCACCUGGGAGAUUUACAUCUAUGCAUAAAAAUGAUGGGCUCCCGAACUGUUCACAGAGGGACUGAAACACUUCAAUUCGGAGAGAAAAAUCCGAUCAAAGAGAUGAUGAACUUUAUAUAUGAAAACCUGAAACCCAGUGAGCGAAAGUCAGCUAGAGGAGAUUUUGUUUUGUUUUGCUCUUGGGAGAAAGGAGCGAAUGAGUGUUAUCAGUGUGAUCAGUGACCACUAAAACCUGCAGAGUCAGCACAUGAGAGCAUUGUUUCCUGUGCUUUGUGCCGAGAAUGCAGGACGCAGGUGCAGACUGGUGACAGGAAUCUACGGCAUCCCCGAUCAUUAAAGCAAUUAAUUUAACAACUUGUCAUUUAGAAUUUAUUCUGCGCUACGACACCAAGGUGGACCCAAGUGAGACUGCUGACAACCUGUAGAACUAAUCAGCGAAUUGAGCUCAGAGGAG